AAAGAAUGCCCCUGAGAACCACGAUGGUUCCAUGAUACUCUUAUCUAAUGUGGUUCCAUCAGAUUUCUACCUGUGGUUGGAGAAAUGUUUACUCUUGCUCUGCUCCACUGGCCAUGAACAAGAACACAGACAGAAGAAGAGAGGACAUAGUGAGCUGAGCCAAAUGCUGAAUAAGAUUUACCUUGGAUAGUUAAAGCAGAACUGGGGCUGUUGAGAGAGAGAACAAACAGUGAUGGAAUCACCGUCCAUGAUAUCAGAAGAUGUUCUUCAGUGUGACAAGAUAAAGGGAGCAUUCACAGUCACCCAAUGGGGUGGACCAAUGGAAUUCACCAGAACUGAAGAGAAAGUACCCUUCAUUACACCCCUGUCCUGGAAGAUGGAGUGUGUGGUCCACAAAAGGUUUUCAAAGGUAAGUGCAGUUAAUUUGUUUAUUUUUCUUUAUAUUUUGUAUUAUAUUGCAGUAUUAUAAUCAUUUUUAUAUGAAUAUUUUGG
rnacentral:lncRNA from 1 species